rnacentral:rRNA from 1 species
GUGUCAAGGCCCGGGAACGUAUUCACCGCGCCAUGGCUGAUGCGCGAUUACUAGCGAAUCCAGCUUCACGGAGUCGAGUUGCAGACUCCGAUCCGAACUGAGACAUGGUUUAGAGAUUAGCAUCCUGUCGCCAGGUAGCUGCCCUUUGUCCAUGCCAUUGUAACACGUGUGUCGCCCCGGAUGUAAGGGCCGUGCUGAUUUGACGUCAUCCCCACCUUCCUCACAGCUUACGCUGGCAGUCUCACCAGAGUCCUCAGCUUAACCUGUUAGUAACUAGUGAUAAGGGUUGCGCUCGUUAUGGCACUUAAGCCGACACCUCACGGCACGAGCUGACGACAACCAUGCAGCACCUCGUAAUCAGCUAUUGCUAGAAGACCUCUUUCAAGGCCGGUCUGACUACGUUCAAACCCGGGUAAGGUUCCUCGCGUAUCAUCGAAUUAAACCACAUGUUCCUCCGCUUGUGCGGGCCCCCGUCAAUUCCUUUGAGUUUCACCGUUGCCGGCGUACUCCCCAGGUGGAUUACUUAACGCUUUCGCUGUAGAGCUUACUGUGUAUCGCAAACUCCUAGUAAUCAUCGUUUACUGCGUGGACUACCAGGGUAUCUAAUCCUGUUUGAUACCCACGCUUUCGUGCUU